rnacentral:rRNA from 1 species
ACAACUUUCAGCAACGGAUCUCUUGGCUCUCGCAUCGAUGAAGAACGCAGCGAAAUGCGAUAAGUAAUGUGAAUUGCAGAAUUCAGUGAAUCAUCGAAUCUUUGAACGCACCUUGCGCUCCUUGGUAUUCCAAGGAGCAUGCCUGUUUGAGUGUCAUGA